GACGAACGCUGGCGGCGUGCUUAACACAUGCAAGUCGAACGGUGACCUUGGGAGCUUGCUCCUGGGUGAUCAGUGGCGAACGGGUGAGUAACACGUGAGUAACCUGCCCCUGACUCUGGAAUAACUUCGGGAAACCGAAGCUAAUACCGGAUAUGACACAGAGCCGCAUGGUUUCUGUGUGGAAAGUUUUUUCGGUUGGGGAUGGACUCGCGGCCUAUCAGCUUGUUGGUGAGGUAAUGGCUUACCAAGGCGACGACGGGUAGCCGGCCUGAGAGGGCGACCGGCCACACUGGGACUGAGACACGGCCCAGACUCCUACGGGAGGCAGUAGUGGGGAAUAUUGCACAAUGGGCGAAAGCCUGAUGCAGCGACGCCGCGUGAGGGAUGAAGGCCUUCGGGUUGUAAACCUCUUUCAGUAGGGAAGAAGCGCAAGUGACGGUAUCUACAGAAGAAGCACCGGCUAACUACGUGCCAGCAGCCGCCGCAGUAA
rnacentral:rRNA from 1 species